rnacentral:rRNA from 1 species
GACGUAGGGGGCCAGCGUUGUUCGGAAUUACUGGGUGUAAAGGGUUCGUAGGCGGUGCGGCAAGUCGGGAGUGAAAUCUCUGGGCUUAACCCAGAGGCUGCUUCCGAAACUGCUGUGCUUGAGUGUGGGAGAGGCGCGUGGAAUUGCAGGUGUAGCGGUGAAAUGCGUAGAUAUCGGGAGGAACAUCAGUGGCGAAGGCGGCCCUCUGGUCCAGUACUGACACUCAAGUGCGAAAGCGUGGGGAGCAAACAGG